GAUGAACGCUGGCGGCGUGCCUAAUACAUGCAAGUCGAGCGAACGGACGAGAAGCUUGCUUCUCUGAUGUUAGCGGCGGACGGGUGAGUAACACGUGGAUAACCUACCUAUAAGACUGGGAUAACUUCGGGAAACCGGAGCUAAUACCGGAUGAUAUUUUGAACCGCAUGGUUCAAAAGUGAAAGACGGUCUUGCUGUCACUUAUAGAUGGAUCCGCGCUGCAUUAGCUAGUUGGUAAGGUAACGGCUUACCAAGGCAACGAUGCAUAGCCGACCUGAGAGGGUGAUUGGCCACACUGGAACUGAGACACGGUCCAGACUCCUACGGGAGGGAGCAGUAGGGAAUCCUUCGCAAUGGGCGAAAGCCUGACGGAGCAACGCCGCGGGAGUGAUGAAGGUCUUCGGAUCGUAAAACUCUGUUAUUAGGGAAGAACAAAUGUGUAAGUAACUGUGCACAUCUUGACGGUACCUAAUCAGAAAGCCACGGCUAACUACGUG
rnacentral:rRNA from 1 species